UCGGCUGGCUUCAUCAACUAU
rnacentral:snRNA from 1 species